rnacentral:tRNA from 2 species
GCGCCGUUGGUCUAGUGGUAGGAUUCUCGCUUCGGGUGACCCCAAGCUCAGCUUGGCCAAAUGUGAGAGGUCCCGGGUUCAAACCCCGGAUGGCGCC